GACUUAAUGUGUAGUGUCCAUCUCCAUUCAGUCCCUUAGUAGAUCAAGAAUGUCAUGCUAUAGAAUGUACCUCUUUUUUAUUGGAGAAGAUGAUUCUGUUUCCAUUUUGAUAUCAGGUUCAUAAGCAAGGUGUUGCACUUGGAAGAUCUGUUGACUUGACAAAGUUUGAUGGUUAUGACCAAUUGAUCGAGGAGUUAGAUCAGCUAUUUGAAUUCAAAGGAGAAUUGAUGGCUCCAAAUAAAAAUUGGAUAAUUGUAUUUACUGAUAAUUAGGAUGAUAUGAUGCUUGUUGGAGAUGACCCUUGGCAGGAAUUUUGUGCUAUGGUCCGUCAAAUUUUUAUAUACACAAAAGAGGAGGUCUAGAAGAUGGAUUCAAGUACCUUGAACCCAAAAAAUGAAGAUUGUCCUGAUAUGAAAGAGAAUGUCAAGGAAACAAAAGGCAGUCAAUCUGCAUCAUCAUCUAAUUCAAAAAACUCAUAGGCUUAUCCUGCAAUGCUGACGACAUCUUUGCCAUGUGCAAUUCAAUCUUUGUAGGAUCUUGAAGCACAAACAAAGUGAUUGUUUGUGCUUUAUCUAAGUGAUUGUUUGAACAGUUUUAUAGCAUGCAUCUUGACAAUUAAUAUAAUUUUGAAGAUCACUAUCAAGGAAGAAUGUUCAAAGGAAAGUAAAGGCUAAGGAGAAGAUCACGUAAUUAACUACACGGGUAGGUUUCCGUAAGAAUUCAACUUUUUCUUGAUCUAUUCUUAUGUAGUCCAUGGUACACAUUAAAGAUUUCACUGUAGCUUAUUUUCAGUAUUCUAACAUGUAAAUUAAUACACUUCUGUGGAUCCUCCAAACAAUCUAAGUUGUGAUGGAUU